GUCCUAGUAGCUUAGUAUUUAAAGCACCAGUCUUGUAAACCGGAGACCGGAGGCUAAAUUCCUCCCUAGGGCC
rnacentral:tRNA from 1 species